CCGCUGCCUGCCCUGCUCAGCUUAACCUACUGAAGUCCAGCUCAUCCAUCAAAAAAGUGUUUUCCACCGAGUAGCGCUUCACCCUCAGAUCCAGCAGUGGCGCUCAUGCAGCUUUUAGAUGGUUUGGCAGCCGCCAUUUAAACAACAACAGAAGAAGAAGAAGAAGAAGAAUGUUUCUGCCGCGGGGAAUCAUCAUGUCCCUGAACCCGGGCCCGGACUCCCUGCAGCGGGGUCCGAAGAGAAGCAGGUACCGCCGCGGCGAUCAUCAGUGAAGCGACACAAACACACACAGCCAGUCGUUUAAAACCGACCCGCAACUUUAACAGGAUUCUUUGGAAAAGAUCUGUAACCCAAUACUGUCUGAAGAGGCAAAAUAUCCAAAUCUGGGAGAAAAACCCGGCGGUUUUUAAUUUCGGGUAGUUGAGGGAUCUAAACCUCUAGAGGAGAUCCAGACACUGAAGAUGCAGAUCAAACCUAAUGGGAGAUUCACUAGGGCUGGGCUGAGAGAGAGAGCUGACGAAACGAGCAGGGCGCGUCCCAAACCAGUCCAGUCCAGUCGAUGAGUAACGUGUGUUUAUACGCGUCACCAUCACACUAGCACUCAACAGUUUAGGGUCA